GUCACUUUGGCAGCACAUAUACUAAAAUUGUAACGAUACGAAGAAGAUUAGCAUAGCUCCUGUGCAAGAUGGACACACAAAUUCUGGAAGCAUUCUGUAUUUUU